rnacentral:tRNA from 1 species
GCGGGUAUGGUGGAAUUGGUAGACACAAGGGAUUUAAAAUCCCUCGCUAUUUGGCGUCCGAGUUCAAGUCUCGGUAUCCGCACCA